rnacentral:rRNA from 1 species
UACAGAGGUCCCGAGCGUUGUUCGGAUUCACUGGGCUUAAAGCGUGUGUAGGCGGAUCGGUAAGUACCUUGUGAAAUCCCACAGCUUAACUGUGGAACUGCUUGGUAUACUGCCAGUCUUGAGCCACUUAGGGGCUACCGGAACAAAUGGUGGAGCGGUGAAAUGCGUAGAUAUCAUUUGGAACGCCAAUGGUGAAAACAGGUAGCUGGGAGUGUGCUGACGCUGAGACACGAAAGCCAGGGGAGCAAACGGG